GAGGUUGUGGCUCAGUGGCAGAGUGCUUGUCUUGUACAUAUGAGACACUGGGUUCAAUCCUCAGCACCGCA
rnacentral:tRNA from 1 species